rnacentral:rRNA from 1 species
AUGGUAAGUUUGUUGGGAGUGUUAGAGCAGGAACGGGUGAGCUUCAUGAUGGUACUUGUUAAGAACAAGCAUUCAAUGUUUCUUCUUCUAAUAGCAAACUGUUGCACUUCUUCCCGUCAGAAGAAAGAGGACCCUUUGACUACGGUUUCUGGUGCCUCUAGCCGGUGCCACCGCCGGUCAACCUCGUCUUUUGUGGUCUUAGGGCCAUGGUGGCGCGGUGGAUCUUGGCCAUUGCCGGCGGGAGUGCUCCGUUUUCAUGUUUUCUUGAGUUCUGUUAGGAUUUGUAUAUAUCUUGCUUAG